GUGAGGAAGCUGCCUUUGAGAGUGGGAUAGCUUCUGGAAACGGAUGGUAAUACCGCAUAACAUAGCGAAACCGCAUGAUUUUGCUAUCAAAGUAUUUCGCUCAGAGAUGGCCUCGCGUCUGAUUAGAUAGUUGGUGAGGUAACGGCUCACCAAGUCGACGAUCAGUAGCCGGACUGAGAGGUUGAACGGCCACAUUGGGACUGACACACGGCCCAUACUCCUACGGGAGGCAGCAGUGGGGGAUAUUGCACAAUGGGGGAAACCCUGAUGCAGCGAUGCCGCGUGGAGGAAGAAGGUUUUCGGAUUGUAAACUCCUGUCGUAAGGGAAGAGGAAGGACUGUACCUUACAAGAAAGCUCCGGCUAACUACGUGCCAGCAGCCGCGGUAAUACGUAGGGAGCGAGCGUUGUCCGGAAUGACUGGGUGUAAAGGGAGCGUAGGCGGGAUGGCAAGUCAGAUGUGAAACCUGAGGGCUCAACCUUCAGACUGCAUUUGAAACUGCUGUUCUUGAGUGAAGUAGAGGUAAGCGGAAUUCCUGGUGUAGCGGUGAAAUGCGUAGAGAUCAGGAGGAACAUCGGUGGCGAAGGCGGCUUACUGGGCUUUUACUGACGCUGAGGCUCGAAAGCGUGGGGAGCAAACAGGAUUAGAUACCCUGGUAGUCCACGCUGUAAACGAUGAAUAGUAGGUGUGGGGGGAUUGCCCCCCUCCGUGCCGCAGUAAACACAAUAAGUAAUGCCCAUGGGGAGUACGACCGCAAGGUUGAAACUCAAAGGAAAUGACGGGGGCCCGCUCCCGCAGUGGAGUAGUCGGUUUAAUUCGAAGCAAACGAGAAGAACCUAUCCAGGUCCGAUCAUCGAGCGACGGAUCCAGAGACGGAUAUUUCCUUCGGCACACAACGACAGGGGCUGCAUGGCUGUCCGUCAGCUCGUGUCGUGAGAUGUCGGUUUAAGUCCCGCAGCGAGCGCAACCCUUAUCAUUAGUUGUUAUGCAAGAGCACUGUAAUGAGAUUGCCGUUGACAAAAUGGAGGAAGGGGGGGAUGACGUCAAAUCAUCAUGCCCUCUAUGACCUGGGCUACGCACGUACUGCAAUGGCGAUAGAACAGAGGGAAGCAAGACAGCGAUGCGGAGCCAAUCCCAAAAAAUCGCCCCAGUUCAGAUUGCAGGCCGCAACUCGCCGGCAGGAAGUUGGAUCUGGUAGUAAUCGCAGAUCAGCAUGAGGCGGGGAAUACGUUCCCGGCCCGUGCCAUCACCGCCCUUC
rnacentral:rRNA from 1 species